rnacentral:rRNA from 1 species
GAUGAACGCUAGCUACAGGCUUAACACAUGCAAGUCGAGGGGCAGCACUAGGUAGCAAUACUGAGGUGGCGACCGGCGCACGGGUGCGUAACGCGUAUCCAACCUUCCCGAUACUCUUGGAUAGCCUUCCGAAAGGGAGAUUAAUACAAGAUGGUGUUUCACUUUCGCAUGUUAUUGAAACUAAAGAUUUAUCGGUAUCGGAUGGGGAUGCGUGACAUUAGAUAGUAGGCGGGGUAACGGCCCACCUAGUCUACGAUGUCUAGGGGUUCUGAGAGGAAGGUCCCCCACACUGGAACUGAGACACGGUCCAGACUCCUACGGGAGGCAGCAGUGAGGAAUAUUGGUCAAUGGUCGGAAGACUGAACCAGCCAAGUAGCGUGAAGGAUGAAGGUUCUAUGGAUUGUAAAACUUCUUUUAUACGGGAAUAAAACACCUUACGUGUAGGGUCUUGUAUGUACCGUAUGAAUAAGCAUCGGCUAACUCCGUGCCAGCAGCCG